rnacentral:rRNA from 1 species
AGAGUUUGAUUAUGGCUCAGAUUGAACGCUGGCGGCAGGCCUAACACAUGCAAGUCGAGCGGAUGCACGAAGCAUGCUACUCCUGUUGUGGCCAGCCGGGGAAGGGUGACCAAUGCCUCUGCAUCUGCCCGGGCGGAGGGGGAUCACAAUUGGACACUACUGCUACUACCGCCCACCCCCUACAGGGGAGAGACCGGCACCUUCUGGCCUUCCACAAGUGGCUGAACCUAGAGUGGGAUUAUCUAGAUGGUGAGGCUCUGCCUCGCCACGGUCACGAUCCCUAGCUGUACUGAGAUCAUGAUCACCCGCACUGAGACUGAGACCCGACCCCUACUCCUACCGGAGGCAGCGAAGAGUAAUAUUGGGCCGAGAGCCAAACCCUGACGUGCCCCUGGCGCGAGUGUGGACAUCGCCUUCUGGUUGUCUUUCACUUUCGAUAGAAGAGGAAUGGCUGUAUCUUAUUACGCUAUAUCUGUGACGUUACCUACAGCACAAGGACCCGCCAUCUCCGCGCCAGCAGCCGCGGUAAUGCUGAGGGCCCGAGCCUUAAUCACAAUUACUGGACCUCGCGUGUGCGCUUGCGGUUUGUUAAUCUAGAUGCGCAAGCCCUGCGCUCAACCUCUGCAUCACCAUUUCGAACUGCCGAACUAGAGUCUAUGUAGAGGGAGGUAUACUUCCAGGUGUAGCAGUGAAAUGCUAUAGACAUCUGCACGAAUACCGGUGGCGACCGCCGCCCCCUAUACAGACACUGACGCUCAUGCACGAGAGCGUGCGGACCAGACAGGAUUACAUACCCUGCUAGUCCACGCCGUAAACGAUGUCUACUAGGAGUUUGUUCUCUUGAACACUGAGGUGUGCAGCUAACGCAUUAAGUAGACCGCCUGGGGAGUACGGCCGCAAGGUUAAAACUCAAAUGAAUUGAGCGCGGGCCCGCACAAGCGGUGGAGCAUGUGGUUUAAUUCGAUGCAACGCGAAGAACCUUACCUACUCUUGACAUCCGCGGAAUUUGCUAGAGAUGGUUUAGUCCUUUGGGGAAUCAUACACCAGGUGCUGCAUGGCUGUCGUCAGCUCUUUUUGUGAAAUGUUGGGUUAAGUCCCGCAAGGAGCGCAACCCUCUAUCUUUAUUUGCCAGCACGUAAUGGGGGGAAUUUUAGGGAGACUGCCGGUGCUAAACCGGAGGAAGGUGGGGGAGGUCGUCAAGUCAUCUUGGCCCUUACGAGUAGGGCUACACACGUGCUACAAUGGUCGAGUACAGAGGGUUGCCAAGCCGCGAGGUGGAGCUAAUCUCACAAAGCUAGUCGUAGUCCGGAUUGGAGUCUGCAACUCGACUCCAUGAAGUCGGAAUCGCUAGUAAUCGUGGAUCAGAAUGUCACGGUGAAUACGUUCCCGGGCCUUGUACACACCGCCCGUCACACCAUGGGAGUGGGUUGCAACAGAAGUGGGUAGUUUAACCUUCGGGGGGGCGCUCACCACGGUGUGGUUCAUGACUGGGGUGAAGUCGUAACAAGGUAACCG